rnacentral:lncRNA from 1 species
AUGGGGCUCAUGGAAGGACGCCGGCCAGCAGCGGGCUUCUCACUCCUUACCUCCCUCCGUGGCUGGAGGCCACCCACUGGCCAGUCCCCACCAACCACCAAUCUAGGUCUGGCCAGAUGGCCCCUGGAAGCUCCAAGGCCUUCCCUCCCAGGCCUCUGCUCAGCGCCUCCCCUGAAACCCCCUCUGCCCGGCUCCCAGGAAAGCACAGCCUCCCCAGCCCCUGCCACCAGCGGUGUCUUCCCCGGCCCUUUGUGGGACCCCUCCACACACGUCUCGAGUGGCCCUGACACUUGGCCCUCACCUCCCCCCAUGCUCAUCCUAGGGAACCCCUCCACAGCCCUCCCCUUCCUGCACCAUCUCCAGCCCUGGCUUCUACUUCUUCCAGACUGCAACCCGGGAGGGCCACAGACACUGCUCUCAGCUGGUCCCAAACCACGCAGAUGCCCUGCCCAGAUCGCACCCAGCGGACGACGCUCUGGACGGUCUCUGCCUGCGGCCCCUCCUCUACCCUCACCAGUGCUGCCCAGCCCUGGUCAUGCUCAAAGAGCCAGGACCCUGCGCCACACCAGCCAGGCAGGGCAUCCUCAAGGCAGCCUUCAAAGUGCCCCUGCACCUCAGACUUGCUCACAGGUCCCCUCACCCAGAGAGCCAAGCCCCGGAGUUCUCAAGAGCCAGGGCUGCACCCCUCUCGUGCCAAUUCUACCAACCGCCGCCCCCCCACACUGCGUCCCCAGCCUGCAGAGCCCUCUGCCCAGCUCCCUCAGUUCCUGCCCCAGAGGACACAGGCAGCCCGCGGCGCACACCUUGAGAAUGACACGGUCUGCCUCGGAGCCCGCGGGUGCGUACAGGAUCUUGGGGUUGCUGGUCAUGAGGUGCACGAGGAGGCCCAGGUUCCGCUGCUCCUUGCUCGUGAAGCCUAGGGAGCUCAUGUUGCCCCUUCGCAACGCCUCAGGCUCGAUAGUGCUGGGGCAAGCAGGCGAGACUCGAGGUAGGACGGGGCAUCGGCAGGGAAGGGUGGGCGCGGGGCUUCCGAGUGGGUGCAGGUGUCAAACAAUUGGCAUGGAGUAG